CAUCACCAAAGCGGAGAUAAGCUUGAACAACAUAGCAUUUCUAUCUGUCAUAGAAGAAGAUGGCCAGGCUAUCCUAUGUUCUUCUAGUCCUCCUUGUCUUUGUAUCAGCUGAGAUGAUGGUGCCAAAGGUGGAUGCUCAGAAGAAAUGUUUAAUUUUCUUGAUGAGUAACAGAUACGAAUGCCUCAAUGAAUCCUGCCAUUUGGAUUGCGCAAAAUGGUAUAAACAUGGAAUUGGAUAUUGUGUCCCAAAUCCUGAUGUAAAUAACUUUGUUAUGUGUGCAUGCGAUUAUGAUUGUUAAUUGAGCAAAUGUUAUCACUGUUCUGUUGAGAUAUGCAAUCGUGUGCCUUUGAGGAUGUGGACUAAAGAUUGUGCGUUUAUGAAUAAAAUUCAGACUGAACCUUCUUUCAGAGUGCUUA